AUGAUGGCAGUAAUAAGAUAAGGAGAUGUACUCUGAUCAUUUAUGCUAGUUCUUCCCGAGAGCCAUGUGGUGGAUAGUCCUGGACACCUGGCAUCUCUUAUGCCUCAGUUCUUCAACCACAUCCAGAGGAGUCCAAAUGAAUGAAAGUAUCUGAGAGCAGCUGCUCAGAAGAGGAAGGGCAUCAUGCUGAUCCCGACUGUGUCAAUUUGGGCAUCCUUUUCUGCCACUUCAACUUUCAAAAUCAAAUUGUUAUAAUCAAGAUGCAGAACAAGGAUCCAACGAGGGGCCAGCCAAGCUUAAUCUGCAGUUUUUC
ensembl:lncRNA